rnacentral:misc_RNA from 1 species
UCGUAACAAGGUUUCCGUAGGUGAACCUGCGGAAGGAUCAUUACCGAGUGAGGGCCCUCUGGGUCCAACCUCCCACCCAUGUUUAUUGUACCUUGUUGCUUCGGCGGGCCCGCCUCACGGCCGCCGGGGGGCUUCUGCCCUCUGGCCCGCGCCCGCCGAAGACACCAUUGAACACUGUCUGAAGAUUGCAGUCUGAGCAAUUAGCUAAAUAAGUUAAAACUUUCAACAACGGAUCUCUUGGUUCCGGCAUCGAUGAAGAACGCAGCGAAAUGCGAUACGUAAUGUGAAUUGCAGAAUUCAGUGAAUCAUCGAGUCUUUGAACGCACAUUGCGCCCCUUGGUAUUCCGGGGGGCAUGCCUGUCCGAGCGUCAUUGCUGCCCUCAAGCACGGCUUGUGUGUUGGGCCCCGUCCUCCUUCCCGGGGGACGGGCCCGAAAGGCAGCGGCGGCACCGCGUCCGGUCCUCGAGCGUAUGGGGCUUUGUCACCCGCUCUUGUAGGCCCGGCCGGCGCUUGCCGACAACCAUCAAUCUUUUUUCAGGUUGACCUCGGAUCAGGUAGGGAUACCCGCUGAACUUAAGCAUAUCAAUAA